GAUGAACGCUGGCGGCGUGCCUAAUACAUGCAAGUCGAGCGAACGGACGAGAAGCUUGCUUCUCUGAUGUUAGCGGCGGACGGGUGAGUAACACGUGGAUAACCUACCUAUAAGACUGGGAUAAUUUCGGGAAACCGGAGCUAAUACCGGAUAAUAUUUUGAACCGCAUGGUUCAAGAGUGAAAGACGGUCUUGCUGUCACUUAUAGAUGGAUCCGCGCUGCAUUAGCUAGUUGGUAAGGUAACGGCUUACCAAGGCAACGAUGCAUAGCCGACCUGAGAGGGUGAUCGGCCACACUGGAACUGAGACACGGUCCAGACUCCUACGGGAGGCAGCAGUAGGGAAUCUUCCGCAAUGGGCGAAAGCCUGACGGAGCAACGCCGCGUGAGUGAUGAAGGUCUUCGGAUCGUAAAACUCUGUUAUUAGGGAAGAACAUAUGUGUAAGUAACUGUGCACAUCUUGACGGUACCUAAUCAGAAAGCCACGGCUAACUACGUG
rnacentral:rRNA from 1 species